GUCCAGAUGUUCAUCAGUGGUCUUGGGUGUAGGCUUCAAACCUGUAGCUGUUUAGCGACAGAGUGAUUUAGUUCCACCCUCUGGGCA